rnacentral:rRNA from 1 species
GAGUUUGAUCGUGGCUCAGGACGAACGCUGGCGGCGUGCUUAACACAUGCAAGUCGAACGAUGAAGGGGAGCUUGCUCCUUGGAUUAGUGGCGAACGGGGUGAGUAACACGUGAGUAACCUGCCCUUGACUCUGGGAUAAGCGUUGGAAACGACGUCUAAUACCGGAUAUGACCUGUGACGGCAUCGUCCGCAGGUGGAAAGAAUUUUGGUCAAGGAUGGACUCGCGGCCUAUCAGGUAGUUGGUGAGGUAACGGCUCACCAAGCCGACGACGGGUAGCCGGCCUGAGAGGGUGACCGGCCACACUGGGACUGAGACACGGCCCAGACUCCUACGGGAGGCAGCAGUGGGGAAUAUUGCACAAUGGGCGAAAGCCUGAUGCAGCAACGCCGCGUGAGGGACGACGGCCUCGGUUGUAA